GCCCCAGUGCCCACAGAAGAGGAAUGCCUCUGUUGCGAGGAAUGGGACCGGUUGCAGCCUUAUUUUCAAGGUCUGGACAUGAAUGAGGACGAGACACCUCCACCUGGAGUAGUAUCCAGCUGGGCUUUAUCUAGAGCUCGCGAGAUAUAUUUCAGCCGCCCUUUGGAAAGCAGAGCUAAAGGGGUAAACAAAUUUCAAGGAAAAAGUGCCACAUGGAUUAGUGUAUUGUGCUCUUACUACCACUAGAUGGCACAAAAAAGUGUCCAUGAACGUAGAAGGUCAAGGAAACCCGUAACAUGAUGUCCUCAUAUGAGGACACAGGGUCUCAGGAGGAUAGAGGCUUCACAUUUUUACAAUUCGAGAAUGUAAGAAUUUCUUUAGGCCUGUAACACUGAUAUAUAUGUGGCUCUAGAGCCGCAGCCCCUGAGUUAACUGGUAAUCAUAAGCUCAUUAACAUGAAGAACCACUCAGAAAUCCCACAUGUACAGGUUUUGUUUUUAAUGAGAAAAUAUUCAUAAUAUGUAUAGUAGGUGUAUAACUGUGAGCCUUACAUGUGCUAUAAAAUAACAAAGCAGAGUAUGAGCAUACAAGUGGUUAACAUAGGAACAGAGGUUAUACUGUAUACUGUAUAAUAAGAUUGCUUCGUCACACACACACACAGACAGUCCCACACUGAAGCUCGGGCGCUCCUGCAGGUGAAAACAAGCUCCCAGCAUUUUAAAAUGAUAAAUAAAUCAUCUGUGCACCAUGAAUUCAAACAACAAAAGCAUAAUAAUAAUAAUAAUAAUAAUUAUAAUAAAUCACACAAUUAGAACUCCUCUGAGUGUGCAUGAUGUCUGUUACCAUUUCAAAAGCUUUGUAUCCAAUGAGAACUCAAAUUUCAGUUGUGUCCUAAAAGGUGACAUGAGGACAGCGUGUGUGUGUUUGUGUACAAUAAAACAGUUUUACAAUGUGUUGCAGCAGCUACAGUAAACUAGGGAGGAAGCCAUUUGCUUUUGUUGCUUAAAACUCAAAUCGUGCUGUGAAUAAAGCUCAGAUACAGUAGAUGCUCAGCCGCCAUCCAGAACAGGCCACUGUAAAACUAUCAUCUGUCACAAAGGAUCUGUAUCACCAUGCCAUUCAUCCUGAAUAAAAAAUGUCUGUUCACUCUCCUCUGCAAUUGAAUAUCUCUCACAUGGUAAAGCAAAAAAUACCAUUUUGUUCAUCCUUUAAGUCAUGUGGCAAAAUGACUCUCACAUCAGCGUCAGCGGCACUGUACCUCGACACAAUGUUCUGCUGCACCACCAUCAAAUCUCAGUCUCAAAAAAUAUUUUUCAUCACAUGUCCGAAAACAAGACAGAGGAGGAUUCUCUGGAACCAAUGUUGGUUUUGUUUCAGGGGGAAAUGGGCACAUCACAUAGGCACGAGUCCUCGGUUCUUACUUCCUCUUGGUGGCUGCUGGCACUACGUUUCCCUCAGAGAGCAAAUAGAUAAUUAAAUAGAGUCAGAUAAGUUGCACUCAGGCUGGGACUGUCCCAAUAAAUAUAAUAGAGAGUCAUUAUUGUCAAGGGUUAGUAUGUGUCCCGCAAUUCUUUAUCUUCUGUGCAAGUUUACCUCAGUUUUAGUGAUAUAGAAUUUAUUCAGUGUGUUUGUGAGCAAACACAAAGGUCAGUGCCUGGCCGAAGGACACUUACAGAACAAGACACGCUAGCAGAUGCUGUGAUCGACCUGGGGUUUACAGGAUAAUCUUUCUCACCAUCUUCCUGACAUCCUUAUGCCGAAAGAAAAUCUCAAAGGCUUCAAUAAAGCUAAAAAGACUGACAAACAAAAUCACUUUGCUACUUUUCAAUUAAAGUGGUUCAAAAAUACUGUUUGUACAGCCACGCUGACACAUUUCUACUUUCAGUUCUCAUUUAAAGGGACAGUUCACCCCUAAUCAAGAAUACAUAUUUUUUCUUCUUACUUGUAGUGCUACUUAUCAGUCUAGAUUGUUUUGAUGUAAGCUGCUGGGUGUUGGAGAUAUCCGCCGUAAAGAUGUCUGCCGUCUCUAGAAUAUAAUGAAACUAGAUGGCACUCGGCUUGUGGUGCUGAAAGUGCCAAAAACAUUUGAAAAACUCAACAGUGAUGUCUCUAUCCAGAAAUCAUGACCUUAUUGUGAGCAGUUUCAUAUAAGAACUAUUUUUUUUGCUACUGAACUACACCCACCAACCAUAUCACCACGCAGAAGGAAGCGUGCAUCUACUGCUAGCUAUCUUCACUUAGCUAGCUAACGUUACAGCUUAACCAAGAAGAAUGCCAUUAAUAUUUACAUUUCUGUCAUAAGAAGGAGCCUGUUGUCCGUGAGAAGAUGCACGCUUCCUUCUGCUUCCUACCCAAAAUCAAAAAUACAUAUUUUUCUUCUUGCCUUACCUCUUUGUGAGCAGUUUCAUGUCGGAACUAUUUUCCUUCUAUGGAAAUAUACCCGCCAACCAUAUCACCACACAGAAGGAAGCGUGCAUCUACUGCUAGCUCACCUAUCAAUACUAGCUAGCUAGCUAACGUUACAGCUUAGCCAAUAAGAACACCAUUAAUUACAUCUCGUGCUGUCACAUGCACGAGCCUCUUGUUCGUGAGCAGAUGCACGCUUCCUUCUGCUUCCUACCCCAAAAUAAAACUACAUAUUUUUCUUCUUACCUUACCUUUUUGUGAGCAGUUUCAUGUUGGAACUAUUUUCUUAAUUUUUACAUCUUUUGCUGUCAAAAACACAAGCCUCCUGUCCGUGAGUAGAUGCACGCUUCCUUCUGCACAGUGAUAUGGUUGCCAGUUGUUCGGUACAAGGAAAAUAGUUCCUACAUGAAGCUCACAACAAGGUCUAUGGAUUAUCUUGAGUAACCAGGUCAUGAUUUCUGGAAAGAGACACUGAUGUUGAGUUUUUCAAAUGUAGUUUUUUGCAGCACCAAAAGCCGAGUUCCAUCUAGUUCUAUUAUAUCGGAAAUAAGGCAGACAUCUCUACUGCCAAUAUCUCCAACACUCGGCAACUCACACCAAAACAAUCCAGACUGAUAAACAGCACUACAGGUAAGGGACAAAAUAUGUAUUUUUGAUUUCAGGGUGAACUGUCCCUUUAAAGACAAUCCUACAGGCUACAGGGAUUACUCCUGUUUCAAUGUGUUUAGUUUUGAAGCUGAACUUUACUUUCCACACCUGGACAAUCCACAGUAUCGCAGUAAAUCAUUCAUCGUUCAUUUAAAACAGGAAGUCACAUCCUGUAAAAUCAAAGCUCACAAUAUAUUUAGUAAAAAAACUGACAACCCCAACACAUGAACCUCCCCUGUUACGUUAUUAUCAUACAAAAUAAGCAGAAGUUGAGCCUGUAGUUACGGCCUGUUAAUGAGCCUUUGCACUGUCGGUUAGCUUCUGCUUGUUGUGUGCUUGUGUCAGGGUUAGGAAAGGAGUGUCAUUCCAUGCACACAACCAGAAACUUCUUAAAUAGAUUUUUUAAAAGCGUAGGCGGACUGUUCUCUAAAUAACAACAUUCUGUUUUUGGUAAAACAACUUUUUUUUAUAAAACGCUUUUUCAAUAUUUUUCAUCAAACUUUAUCCUCAGCUAGCAAGGUAUAGUAGAUACACGGCAGUCGCCCUCACUGGAAUCUUAACAUACAUGUUCAUAUAUCAAAUACACAAUCCUACCUCAGUAUAAUACAUGAAACAACUGCUUACAUCAGAAAGCACAGGUCAACAAAGCGACGUAGCCAGCGAAGGUAAAAUAAGUGAUUUACUUUAGGAUAUAAAAGCCCUCGACCCAGCCCUUUAUUUCAUACACACUCUGACUGAAGUGACGCAAACAUGACCCGCAGUUAGCUUCCCUCUUUCCCAUGUGUCUGUCACUUAAUAGACAUGAAGUCACUGAAGAAUAGUGUUUUAUAGACAGACUUUCUAUCUAAUGUGGUAUUUUCUCUAAGGUCUACUGAAACUGCAGAAUAAGAGAAGAUAAAAUACAUCAUACAUAUCGUGCAUCCAACAAUCACUGACGAUCUAAGGCAAAGUUGAACCUCGAUGCUAGUUUUUCAAAUUUCCUCGCUAGCAUUCAACAGUUCAAGGACCCUCAAGUCGGCACUUAAGAUUUAUUGCAGAUGCUUGAAAGGAUUGCAAAAGCUCCCACCGACAUGCCGUACAUGUGUUAUAUCUGUGGUGUGUUGUGGCACUACAAGAUGCAGAAGGUUAAACUUUACGGGCUCUGAAGGUGAUGCUCCCAUUUGUUUAAGUGCCUGGAAAACAUUGCAGCAUCAUCAAAAUCUGACAGAUAUCAGGCCUCGCUUUGUCUCCUCUCUUUAACUCCUUUCAGUUAGAAGUUUCUUGAUAGUCACUCUGCAUAUGCCUGUUUGUCGUUUGCAACCCUCUCCACACAUUUUGAAUUGAAUAUUGGGGUUAUUAUCAAGCACCCACUGCCAAAACCAUCAUCAGCAAGUCUCAGGCAACCAGUCAAAAUAAAAUCUUUAGAU